GCAGGCUGGAGUCUCUCGCUGUGGGGAGUGUAGUGGAGGAGAGGCGAGGACACGCUCGUGCUCAUCAAAAGACUUUUACCUGUUUUCUGCGGGAUUAAAGUAGCACCCGAAGCAGCGAGCUCCUCCACAGCAAUGCGCCGGAGCCCUCAGUGAAACCCGUCUCGGCGACCCGUGUGAAGAGGCUUUACGCUGGCUGGGACGAAGCACUCGGCGGAUCUGGAUAGACUGACGGUGUGCAGCCGGAGAGCAUGACGACGGACGUGGUGAUCGUGAAGGAGGGAUGGCUCCACAAGCGAGGAGAGUACAUAAAGACGUGGAGGCCGCGCUAUUUCUUGCUGAAGAGUGACGGUACGUUUAUCGGAUAUAAGGAGCGUCCGCAGGACGUGGAUCAGCUGGAGACGCCGUUAAACAACUUCUCC